AUUCACUUAAGGAGUAACACACUUGAGACCCUGAGGUGAGGGGAAUUGUUUAAAAUAUUAAAACUAAUUAAUGUCAGAGUUGAACUAAAAGCACAGUCACCUGUGAUGCUGAGCGAGCAUUUUACAACUUUAACUUGAUGCCCCCUGCAUGCCUUUUACCCUGACCUUCCCUUUCCCUAUGCUCCCCGUCCACUGCUUCCGCCUUCCCAGGUAACUCUGACAUUGGCAAAGAGGGUCAGCUUCUGUAAUGCGAUGUAUCUGUCAUCAUUGGCUUCUCCCAAACGUUCUUUUCCAAGAUGUUCAGUGGACUGUGGAAGCAUCAGUCUGUAAUUGCCAGGAAAGGCCCAAGUCAGUGCUCCCUGAAGAACAAUGACAUGAUUCUCCCCAGUUCGAUGACUGAUGACGGUUUGAUCUCGCUUGGCUGACCCAGCCAAUUAGUACUCUGGGCACAAGCAGGGGUGGACGCCUCAACCUGUUCCUGGAGCCCAGGCCUGCAGUGUUAAAUGGGUCUACCACAAUGUGCCAAUGGCGUGUGCUUUCUGUGGCGGGGGACAGAUUGUUACCUAAAUUAAAAUGACUAAGUGUUCAUCCAACCAUCUUUCCAGAGUUGGAGGAGCAGAUGGAAAGGCUGGACAUGGCUUUGUAUUUCCAGGGACCAGAGCUCUUGGUGGCAGGAGACUCCAGAGCUGUUUCUACCCUUUCCAUGUUUUGAAUUAUGCCUGAGUGUGCUGCCCUCGGCCUUCCCAAGUCAGUUUUCAAACUGCUUAAUGCUCCCUUCCUCUGCCCACCCAUAUGCCAUGCUGAUUGUAAAACUUGAUCACCUGUGUUUAAGUCCUGCUCCACCACUCUCUAUCUGUGUAAGAACUGAUGAGCCUUAUGUAGCCUCUCUAUGCCUUGGUAUAAAAUAGAUGAUUUUGGUAUCUACCCCAUAGGGCUGUUAAGCAGUUUUCAC
rnacentral:lncRNA from 1 species